rnacentral:sRNA from 1 species
UGCGGCUGGAUCACCUCCUUUCUAAGGAUGAUCCUUCAGCGAGCUCACGCUCACUAUCGGAUCGUUUUAGAAACAUCAGUGGCCAACAGAUCGCCAGAUCGUUGAGCUGCAUUGGCGGGAUUUCGCCGUCUUCGUUUCUCUUUCUUCGCGGACGAACACGCGCUGGGCCUGCAUCAAGCAGGACCCACGGUCCCUGACGGGAUAUGCGUUAGGGGCUUGUAGCUCAGUUGGUUAGAGCGCGCGCUUGAUAAGCGUGAGGUCGGAAGUUCAAGUCUUCCCAGGCCCACCACUUUCAUCGAGUGAGCAUUCGUCUUCUGGUUACGGGGCCAUAGCUCAGCUGGGAGAGCGCGUGCUUUGCAAGCAUGAGGUCGUCGGUUCGAUCCCGUCUGGCUCCACCAGAUGGUUUGAUCACCGAGAUCUUGCACCGUCGUCCGCGAAACAUCACUUCGCAUCCUGCUAGUCUGGAUAGACAGCAAGAUGCGUGUUUUCUGACAUCGUAAAGAGGAGAUCGAUCCGAGUUGGGUCGUGCAGCAGAUUGUUGCGCGAACCUUCAUUAUCUCCGGAUCAUUUUCGGCGCUCGCUUUCAGCCGUGAGGUUGAAUGCGAGUUGUAAAAUGAUCCUUUUAGCGAAGCUUGACCGCCUCGCUAUCGGAACGAUCUUACGAAGCAAGCUGGUCUUUCUAGUCAAUGUCCGGCUGCACGUAGCAUUCAUCGAGGGUGCGCGCCGUAAGGCAAUCGUGCAGACAACAUUCUGCCGAGUGUGUGGACAUUGAUAAUGAGAGCAAUCAAGUGCCUUAAGGGUGUUCGGUGGAUGCCUUGGCGCUGAGAGGCGAUGAAGGACGUGCUACGCUGCGAUAAGCCGUGGGGAGCUGCGAAGAAGCUUUGAUCCGCGGAUUUCCGAAUGGGGAAACCCACCUUCGAUAGCCGGAACUCCAAGACCUUGUGUCUUGGUGUUCGACCAGAAAUGAUCGGGACCAUGACCCUAGAGGUUUUGGAUUUCCGGUUAUCAAGAGAAGGUAUGAGACUUCUGAAUACAUAGGAGGUUUCAAGCAAACCCAGGGAACUGAAACAUCUAAGUACCUGGAGGAAAGGACAUCAACAGAGACUCCGUUAGUAGUGGCGAGCGAACGCGGACCAGGCCAGUGAUACAUCAAAGACAAUCGGAACCAGUCAGGAAAGCUGGGCCUCAGAGGGUGAUAGCCCCGUACGAGUAAUGCGAUGAUGUAUCCACGAGUAAGGCGGGACACGUGCAAUCCUGUCUGAACACGGGGGGACCACCCUCCGAGCCUAAGUACUCCUCAGCGACCGAUAGCGAACCAGUACCGUGAGGGAAAGGUGAAAAGCACCCCGACGAGGGGAGUGAAAUAGACCUGAAACCGGACACCUACAAACAGAUGGAGCUCAAGAUUCGUUCUGGGUGACAUCGUACCUUUUGUAUUAUGGGCCAGCGACUUAAUUUAACGAGCAAGCUUAAGCCGAUAGGCGAAGGCGUAGCGAAAGCGAGUCUGAAUAGGGCGCCAAGUUCGUUGUAUUAGACCCGAAACCUAGUGAUCUAGCCAUGAGCAGGUUGAAGGUGAGGUAACACUCACUGGAGGACCGAACGGGUGCCUGUUGAAAAAGGCUCCGAUGACUUGUGGUUAGGGGUGAAAGGCCAAUCAAACUGGGAAAUAGCUGGUUCUCCGCGAAAGAUAUUUAGGUAUCGCCUCGCACGAAUGCUUCGGGGGGUAGAGCACUGGAUGGGCUAGGGGGACUUACCGUCUUACCAAACCCAACCAAACUCCGAAUACCCGAAAGCAAUAUGCGGGAGUCACACGGCGGGUGCUAACGUCCGUCGUGGAGAGGGAAACAACCCGGACCUACAGCUAAGGCCCCUAAUUCGUGGCUAAGUGGGAAAGGAUGUGGAAAUCCCAAAACAACCAGGAGGUUGGCUUAGAAGCAGCC